rnacentral:rRNA from 1 species
UACAGAGGCCUCGAGCGUUAAUCGGAAUCACUGGGCUUAAAGCGUGCGUAGGCGGACGUGCAAGCAUGUUGUGAAAUCCCAUGGCUCAACCAUGGAACUGCUUCGUGAACUGCACGUCUUGAGACAAGUAGGGGCGGUCGGAACGAUAGGUGGAGCGGUGAAAUGCGUAGAUAUCUAUCGGAACGCCGAAGGAGAAGUCAGGCCGCUGGGCUUGUUCUGACGCUGGGGUACGAAAGCGUGGGGAGCAAACGGG